GUUACAGCUCACGCUACUCGCCUGAGCGAGAACGCUCUUAUUCUCCUUAUCGCAGAGGACGAUCAUACUCUCGUCGUGACAGGCGUAGAUCAUACUCCCCUGAUGAAAGGAGGCGAUACUACUCUCCCUAUGGCAGAAGGAGAUCAUACUCUCCUUCUGACAGGUCGGAGUCUCCCUACGACAGGCGUAGGUCCUACUCACCCUAUGACAGGUCCUACUCACCCCGCCAUGGUCAUCGCCACCGUUCAAGAUCUCCAUACCGUUACAGAAGGCAGAGGUCGCACUCCCACGACCGUUCUGUUUCAGCAUACUACAGCAGGCG
rnacentral:lncRNA from 1 species